ACUACGGGUGGCUGCAGUGGGGAAUAUUGCACAAUGGGCGCAAGCCUGAUGCAGCAAUGCCGCGUGUGUGAAGAAGGCCUUCGGGUUGUAAAGCACUGUCAGCGGGGAGGAAGGCGGGGAGGUGAAUAACCUCAUCGAUUGACGUUACCCGCAGAAGAAGCACCGGCUCAACUCCGUGCCAGCAGCCGCGGUAAUACGGAGGGUGCAAGCGUUAAUCGGAAUUACUGGGCGUAAAGCGCACGCAGGCGGUCUGUCAAGUCGGAUGUGAAAUCCCCGGGCUCAACCUGGGAACGGCAUUCGAAACUGGCAGGCUAGAGUCUAGUAGAGGGGGGUAGAAUUCCAGGUGCAGCGGUGAAAUGCGUAGAGAUCUGGAGGAAUACCGGUGGCGAAGGCGGCCCCCUGGACAAAGACUGACGCUCAGGUGCGAAAGCGUGGGGAGCAAACAGGAUUAGAUACCCUAGUAGUC
rnacentral:rRNA from 1 species